CGGACGGGUGAGUAAUGCUUGGGAAUCUGGCUUAUGGAGGGGGAUAACUACGGGAAACUGUAGCUAAUACCGCGUAGUAUCGGAAGAUGAAAGUGUGGGACCGCAAGGCCACAUGCCAUGAGAUGAGCCCAAGUGGGAUUAGGUAGUUGGUUAGGUAAAGGCUGACCAAGCCGACGAUCUCUAGCUGGUCUGAGAGGAUGACCAGCCACACUGGAACUGAGACACGGUCCAGACUCCCUACGGAGGCAGCAGUGGGGAAUAUUGCACAAUGGGGGGAACCCUGAUGCAGCCAUGCCGCGUGAAUGA
rnacentral:rRNA from 1 species